GCCCUGAAAAACAGUCAAACAAAAGAGCACAGAAGCUGUGAUGGACCAUUGUCCCGGUGGCCGAGGCUUCAGGUUUAUGAGUGAUCUUUUAUGGGAUACACAAUUGUUCAGCUUUUAAAACAGAAAAAUGAGCUGGAUCCAUAGGGAGGUUCUGGACAUGAAAGCGCCAAUAUUGCCAAUUAUUAUACCUGCAUCCUGGGCCUCGAUUUCCUCAUCUGUUAAAUGAGAAAGUUGGAUCUGCUAAGUGCUACAAUGGUCUGGAUUGUUGGACCUGAAGCAAGGAAGACAUUCAAAUCUCACCUCAGACACAGGGACUAACAGUUUUCUCAGCAGUAAAAUAAAAGGGCUGAACUCAGCGGUCUCUAAGGGCUCCUUCUGGCUUGAAAUCUUUGAUCUUAAGCACAAUCACUCUGCUUUCUCUUUUACAGAGGAAGGAGUAGGAAGACCUGCAUAUUUUGGCAGUUUGACUGAACCAUCUUUCUCAGUGCUACCUAAUCUCCAGUCACGGUUCUUUAUUUACCCUGUCAUAAUCUUGGAUUCCAGUCCAGGUGAGCUUUUAUUUUAUUUUACACAAAAAAUAAGGCCACCAUGUGACUUCCUAGACAUCUCCUAUACCCCACUGCAGCUCUUUUUUAUGUGUCUCUCCACUCCGCAGUUAAGAGUAUACUUUUCUUGAGGACAGGCAUCAUUUUGUAUUUGUAUUCUCGACAUUUAGCACAGUGCCUGGGCUAUAAUAAACACUUAAAUCCUCUAUUUAGCUAGCUAUCAUGUAUCUUAUUUCCUUACUUCUUUGCUGCUAUUCAUGUGCUGCUGAAUGCAAUUUCCUCAGCUCUGAGAGCUGGAUCUACUACCAAUUUAAAAUGCCUAAUUUCAACUGCAUCAGGUUAAGGUUUUUAUUCCUUAUUGAUUGACUUACCAUGAUCUUCCCCUAAAUUAAUUCAAACCUUUUCUUCUCACCCCAUCCCCUUGCUCUCAGUGGAGAGCUUUAUUUGCUACUUUACUGAUAGUAGCUCAGCUGCCAGGACAGUGAACAUAGCCAGGGGAAUCCAAGAUGUAAAGAAUAACCAUGGCAACUAAGCAGCCUUUUACCCAGAGUUCACAGGACCCCAGACGUUUAAAACUGCAGUUAGUUGAGAAUGCUGGGAAGAAGGAGGAAGGGAGGAGAAAUCCAUCUUGGCUCAGCCUUCAGGCUGUUAGAGCAAAGAAGCAGCACUGCUGUGAUUUCUAUUAUCUCUUCAGAACUGGAACUAUUCAUUACCUAUUUUCCCUUCCCAGGGAGGAGAGAAAUGAAGAGAGGAGUCUAUUCUGUUCUUUAUCACCUGCUAUACUGGGAAUGGAAUUUCAAACAAAUUGUUUCUCAAAUGAUUACUGUCUUUUUGCUGCUUAUAAAUUUAUUCCCCUUGAUAUUAAAAAAAUAGUAGUCACCAACACUGAUACGUGUGAUUUAAUGAUCGGGCUAAAAAGAGUUUGGGAGGAAUUUUUCCCCUUAAAGAGACCAGAGUUUUUCUUCCCCUCUUUUCAGUGAAGCUGAAGUAGGGGAAGGGGGAAACCCUGAAUCCCAUAGGCAUGUAAAUCAUCUUCUAGACCUAGAUGAUCAGUCAACUAGUAAGAGAAAACAUUGGAGCUAUAUAUUUUUAUUACAACCAGGAUAGUCAUUAUUAUUGUAUCAUGAGCCUUCUGUUUUAUG